AUUGAACGCUGGCGGCAUGCCUUACACAUGCAAGUCGAACGGUAACGGGCCUUCGGGUGCCGACGAGUGGCGAACGGGUGAGUAAUGUAUCGGAACGUACCUUUCAGUGGGGGAUAACGUAGCGAAAGUUACGCUAAUACCGCAUAUUCUGUGCGCAGGAAAGCAGGGGAUCGCAAGACCUUGCGCUGAUUGAGCGGCCGAUAUCAGAUUAGCUAGUUGGUGAGGUAAAGGCUCACCAAGGCGACGAUCUGUAGCGGGUCUGAGAGGAUGAUCCGCCACACUGGAAAUGAGACACGGUCCAGACUCCUACGGGAGGCAGCAGUGGGGAAUUUUGGACAAUGGGGGCAACCCUGAUCCAGCCAUGCCGCGUGAGUGAAGAAGGCCUUCGGGUUGUAAAGCUCUUUCGGCCGGGAAGAAAUCGCAUGGGCUAAUACCCUGUGCGGAUGACGGUACCGGCAUAAGAAGCACCGGCUAACUACGUGCCAGCAGCCGCGGUAACAC
rnacentral:rRNA from 1 species